rnacentral:rRNA from 1 species
GAUGAACGCUAGCGGCAGGCCUAACACAUGCAAGUCGAGGGAGAAGCCCUUCGGGACAGAAACCGGCGCACGGGUGCGUAACGCGUAUGCAACCUACCUUUCACAGGGGGAUAGCCCGAAGAAAUUUGGAUUAAUACCCCAUAAUAUUAUUGGAUGGCAUCAUUUGAUAAUUAAAAUUACGAUGGUGAAAGAUGGGCAUGCGUCCUAUUAGCUAGUUGGAGUGGUAACGGCACCCCAAGGCUACGAUAGGUAGGGGUCCUGAGAGGGAGAUCCCCCACACUGGUACUGAGACAGGGACCAGACUCCUACGGGAGGCAGCAGUGAGGAAUAUUGGUCAAUGGUCGGAAGACUGAACCAGCCAUGCCGCGUGCAGGAAGAAUGCCUUAUGGGUUGUAAACUGCUUUUAUAUGGGAAGAAUAAGGAGUACGUGUACUUUGAUGACGGUACCAUAUGAAUAAAGCUUCG